rnacentral:lncRNA from 1 species
ACGUUUUCUGAAUAAUGUUUCUUAAAUUACCAGAUCUCAUUUAUUUGGGAUCGUUUUCUAUAUUUUCAGGGUGAUCCGUUUCGGUUCAUGAUAGUUUUUUCUAUAUUUUGAUAAGAUCCAAAGAUGCCCAAUGUUAAUCAUUUGUCGCAAAAUUGAAUUCACCGAUCUACACCAAAUACAACAAUAAACAAAUCUCCAGUUACCGUAUUUGAUCACUGAUCGAUUGAUUGCUUACUUUAUUGUUUAUAAUGGAACUGUUUGCUGUGUUUAUGAUAUUGAAAUGGAGCUUCAUUCACACCUGGACACAAUUUAAGAAAUCGAAUACGAAUUCCCAAUAACAUCUCCAAUGACCCUUAGAAUUUGUGCU